AGCGAACGCUGGCGGCAGGCUUAACACAUGCAAGUCGAGCGGGCACCCUCGGGUGUCAGCGGCAGACGGGUGAGUAACACGUGGUAACGUACCCUUCGGUUCGGAAUAACGCUGGGAAACUAGCGCUAAUACCGGAUACGCCCUUAUGGGGAAAGGUUUACUGCCGUAGGAUCGGCCCGCGUCUGAUUAGCUAGUUGGUGGGGUAACGGCCUACCAAGGCGACGAUCCGUAGCUGGGCUGUGAGGAUGGGCAGCCACACUGGGACUGAGACACGGCCCAGACUCCUACGGGAGGCAGGAGUGGGGAAUAGUGGACAAUGGGCGCAAGCCUGAUCCAGCCAUGCCGCGUGAGUGAUGAAGGCCUUAGGGUUGUAAAGCUCUUUUGUCCGGGACGAUAAUGACGGUACCGGAAGAAUAAGCCCCGGCUAACUUCGUG
rnacentral:rRNA from 1 species